GUAUUACAUACGGAAUACAAAUACUAAAAUUGGAACAAUACAGAGAAGAUUAGCAUGGCCUCUGCGCAAAGAUGACACGUAAAAUAGUGAAGCGUUCCACAUCCCU
rnacentral:snRNA from 1 species